rnacentral:rRNA from 1 species
UACGAAGGGGGCUAGCGUUGCUCGGAAUCACUGGGCGUAAAGCGCACGUAGGCGGAUUGUUAAGUCAGGGGUGAAAUCCUGGAGCUCAACUCCAGAACUGCCUUUGAUACUGGCGAUCUUGAGUCCGGGAGAGGUGAGUGGAACUGCGAGUGUAGAGGUGAAAAUUCGUAGAUAUUCGCAAGAACACCAGUGGCGAAGGCGGACUCACUGGCCCGGUACUGACGCUGAGGUG